GGCCCUGAUUUCCUGAAGGAAGGAGCUAGGGUCGCGCCGCCUUCGGAUGUAGUGACCCAGGACCUAGGCGGGAUCGCAGAUCUAGCUGGAGUGCAAUGCCAUAUCGGGUCACGCUGCCAGCUUCACAGGCCUUGAGUGCUGCUGGAAGCUCCUCCCCAUCAUGUGAUUCCCCAUCUGUGACAACAACCAGCAACCGGGCAGCCUCUGGCCGGCCCCCCCGGGAGGGACUGAAUCCUUCUGUGCUGGGGCAGCAGGGAAGGAAAGAAAGAGGUUUCUCGCAGCUCUCACGACCUCUUCCUUGGUCCGGAAAUCUCCGAGUGACCAUUCGUGUACGGCAGUCUCCCCAUACUGAACCAGCCCGACCUGCGAGGGACAGACAGGUCUGAUGAUGCCUCUCGUGUCUACACUGGUCCUGCCACAGACUGACUCCCCCACAUUCAGCCUCCUCUCCUCACCUGUAUCUGUUCGGGGUCAAUGAACAGCCUCCCCACCAGUCUACGCAGGAAAGUCUGAACCUCAGCCCAGGGGUAGAUGCUGUUGGAGCCAUCCAGGACAAUGACCACAUCCAUCUCAAUCAGCACCAACAUAAUCCCAGUCUCUUCUCCUUCCUUAUUGCUGUGUUCCUUUCACCAUCACAACACCCCAUGUCCUCC